rnacentral:rRNA from 1 species
GACGAACGCUGGCGGCGUGCUUAACACAUGCAAGUCGAACGGAAAGGCCCUGCUUUUGUGGGGUGCUCGAGUGGCGAACGGGUGAGUAACACGUGAGUAACCUGCCCUUGACUUUGGGAUAACUUCAGGAAACUGGGGCUAAUACCGGAUAGGAGCUCCUGCUGCAUGGUGGGGGUUGGAAAGUUUCGGCGGUUGGGGAUGGACUCGCGGCUUAUCAGCUUGUUGGUGGGGUAGUGGCUUACCAAGGCUUUGACGGGUAGCCGGCCUGAGAGGGUGACCGGCCACAUUGGGACUGAGAUACGGCCCAGACUCCUACGGGAGGCAGCAGGGGGGAAUAUGGCACAAUGGGCGGAAGCCUGAUGCAGCAACGCCGCGUGCGGGAGGACGGCCUUCGGGUGGUAAACCGCUUUCGCAUGUGACGAAGCGUGAGUGACGGUAAUGGGUAAAGAAGCACCGGCGAACUACGU